rnacentral:rRNA from 1 species
UACGUAGGGGGCAAGCGUUUGUCCGGAAUCAUUGGGCGUAAAGAGCGUGUAGGCGGCUCGAUAAGUCUGCUGUGAAAGUCCAGGGCUCAACCCUGGAAGGCCGGUGGAAACUGUCGGGCUAGAGUCCGGAAGAGGAGAGUGGAAUUCCUGGUGUAGCGGUGAAAUGCGCAGAUAUCAGGAAGAACACCCGUGGCGAAGGCGGCUCUCUGGGACGGUACUGACGCUGAGACGCGAAAGCGUGGGGAGCGAACAGG